AGAAACGGCUACCACAUCCAAGGAAGGCAGCAGGCGCGCAAAUUACCCACUCCCGGCACGGGGAGGUAGUGACGAAAAAUAACGAUACGGGACUCAUCCGAGGCCCCGUAAUCGGAAUGAGUACACUUUAAAUCCUUUAACGAGUAUCCAUUGGAGGGCAAGUCUGGUGCCAGCAGCCGCGGUAAUUCCAGCUCCAAUAGCGUAUAUUAAAGUUGUUGCGGUUAAAAAGCUCGUAGUCGGACUUGUGUCCCACGCUGCCGGUUCACCGCCCGUCGGUGUUUAACUGGCAUGCACGUGCGGACGUCCUGCCGGUGGCCCGAGCCGGCGCGGGUCUUGCACCCGUCGUCCGGGGAAGGCCUAUCAUACCCGUCGCGGUGCUCUUAACCGAGUGUCUCGAUGGGCCGGCACGUUUACUUUGAACAAAUUAGAGUGCUUAAAGCAGGCAGCAUCCGCCUGAAUACCGAGUGCAUGGAAUAAUGGAAUAGGACCUCGGUUCUAUUUUGUUGGUUUUCGGAAUCCCCGAGGUAAUGAUCAAUAGGGACAGACGGGGGCAUUCGUAUUGCGACGUUAGAGGUGAAAUUCUUGGAUCGUCGCAAGACGGACCGAAGCGAAAGCAUUUGCCAAGAAUGUUUUCUCUGAUCAAGAACGAAAGUUAGAGGUUCGAAGGCGAUCAGAUACCGCCCUAGUUCUAACCAUAAACGAUGCCAGCCAGCAAUCCGCCGAAGUUCCUCCGAUGACUCGGCGGGCGGCUUCCGGGAAACCAAAGCUUUUGGGUUCCGGGGGAAGUAUGGUUGCAAAGCUGAAACUUAAAGGAAUUGACGGAAGGGCACCACCAGGAGUGGAGCCUGCGGCUUAAUUUGACUCAACACGGGAAACCUCACCAGGCCCGGACACCGGGAGGAUUGACAGAUUGAGAGCUCUUUCUUGAUUCGGUGGGUGGUGGUGCAUGGCCGUNCUUAKUUGGUGGAGCGAUUUGU
rnacentral:rRNA from 1 species